UUUAGAAGGGCAAAGUGGGAAAAAAAUUAAAAGCUCUUUUUGGUCCCAAUUUUGGUUCGAAAAAUUCGUUUUGGUCCCUGGAAAAAAAGAAAGACUUUCUUCUUCCUCUGAAACCCUAAUUCCUCUACCAUUACCCAAACCCCAACCGUCGACCACCGACCACCGUCCAUCAUCUUCUUCCUCGCACGCCGUCAGCAACCAUCGCACCUCGCACCUCCAUCACCGUCGCACCUCCAUCACCAUCGCACCUCCAUCACCCUCGCACCUCCAUCACCCUCGCACCUCCAUCACCAUCACACCUCCAUCACCGUCGCAUCUCGCACCUGCAGAAAACAAACCCAAAAGCAGAAACGGGAACCACCGUGGCAGCCUCCAGCAUUUUCCAAUUCCACUUCGUGUGCUCUUUUCCCCAAAUCUGAACCCUAAUUUUGGGCAGAGUUGUUCUUCCUUGUCCCUAUUAGGGUUUCAGAGGUUAGUAAGAAUAUCUCUGAUGUCUUUGUCUACAAUUAAUACGUUUUCCGUGCAAAUUGCAGCAUUGAUUUGUAAUGAGUCAGGGAAGCAGGGAGCUUGAUGUUGAAUUCUCAAAUUCUGUCUUGAAAUCUGAAGUUUUUCAAA
rnacentral:lncRNA from 1 species